rnacentral:rRNA from 1 species
GACGAACGCUGGCGGCGCGCUUAACACAUGCAAGUCGAACGGAAAGGCCUGCUUUCCCUUGUGGAUUGCGGGUGCUCGAGUGGCGAACGGGUGAGUAACACGUGAGUGAUCUGCCCCCAACUUGGGUAUAAGCCUGGGAAACUGGGUCUAAUUCCCGAUAGGACUGCAGGGUGGUGCCUGUGGUGGAAAACGAUUUUCUAGUGGUUGGGGAUGAGCUCGCGGCCUAUCAGCUUGUUGGUGGGGUAAUGGCCUACCAAGGCGGCGACGGGUAGCCGGCCUGGGAGGGUGGACGGCCACAUUGGGACUGAGAUACGGCCCAGACUCCUACGGGAGGCAGCAGUGGGGAAUAUUGCACAAUGGGCGGAAGCCUGAUGCAGCGACGCCGCGUGGGGGAUGACGGCCUUCGGGUUGUAAACUCCUUUCGACCGAGAGGAAGCCACCUGGUUGGAAGGGUGGUGACGGUAGUGGAAGAAGAAGCACCGGCUAACUACGUG